rnacentral:rRNA from 1 species
GAUGAACGCUGGCGGCGUGCUUAACACAUGCAAGUCGAACGGAAAGGCCCCUUUGGGGGUACUCGAGUGGCGAACGGGUGAGUAACACGUGAGUAACCGGCCCUUGACUUCGGGAUAACUUCAGGAAACUGGGGCUAAUACCGGAUAGGAAUCCUUGCUGCAGGGUGGGGGUUGGAAAGCUUCGGCGGUUUUGGAUGGACUCGCGGCUUAUCAGCUUGUUGGUGGGGUAGUGGCUUACCAAGGCUUUGACGGGUAGCCGGCCUGAGAGGGCGACCGGCCACAUUGGGACUGAGAUACGGCCCAGACUCCUACGGGAGGCAGCAGUGGGGAAUAUUGCACAAUGGGCGGAAGCCUGAUGCAGCAACGCCGCGUGCGGGAUGACGGCCUUCGGGUUGUAAACCGCUUUCAGCAGGGGCGAAGCUUGUGGUGACGGUACCUGCAGAAGAAGCACCGGCUAACUACGUG